rnacentral:tRNA from 1 species
ACCCAGAUGGCUCAGUCGGUUGGGCGCCCGACUUCAGCUCAGGUCACGAUCUCACGGUUUGUGGGUUCGAGCCCCACAUUAGGCU